rnacentral:rRNA from 1 species
CAGUGCCACGGGAAUACGGAGGGUGCAAGCGUUAAUCGGAAUUACUGGGCGUAAAGCGCACGCAGGCGGUCUGACAAGUCAGAUGUGAAAUCCCCGGGCUUAACCUGGGAACUGCAUUUGAAACUGUCAGGCUGGAGUCUUGUAGAGGGGGGUGGAAUUCCAGGUGUAGCGGUGAAAUGCGUAGAGAUCUGGAGGAAUACCGGUGGCGAAGGCGGCCCCCUGGACAAAGACUGACGCUCAGGUGCGAAAGCGUGGGGAGCAAACAGGAUUAGAUACCCCUGUAGUCCCUGUCUCUUAUACA